rnacentral:sRNA from 1 species
UAAACAAAUCUUUAAAACUUGUCCAGUCG